AUCAAUAAACGUUAAAAGCGAAUGUUUUUCAGAUCACCCGACCAUCCCCAGAGCGUAGACGGACCCGGGAAGAGCGCUUAGGUCCAUUGCAAUGUUCCUGAAGGAGGAAGGGACUUGUCCAAGGUCACACAGCUCCACAGUGGCAAAGCUGGGACUUCCCUGAAGUCGAGAGUUUCGUCAGAUCCCUCCCUGGAAGCCGCGUGGCAACAGCCUGGGCACCUGCGGGAAUGUGGUUGUACAAGCACGCCGCAGGCAGCCCUGAGAUGGUGUUUCCGACAAAGGCCCCAGCUGAGAGACAGUUUGAAUGUCUCAGCCACUGAUAUGUCAGGAGAAGUGCUCUGCUUGGGACCUUGAAGAUCAUUGAUUAAGAGAGGAGAAACUGGAGUCCCUAAGGAAAAGAAUCUUGCCAAAAGUCACAUAAUACAUCAGCAGCAAAACUUGUACUGCUUCAUCUACUGAGUAGAGGCUGGACCCAUAGGGCAGGGCCACCAUGGACCCAGUGAGUCAAAGGAGGGAAAAGCUGUGUCCAGUCGCCCAAGAUGCAUAGGUUUUAGGUUGAAGGUGAAGAGGAAGAGUCCAAAGUCCUAAAUCUUUUCUUCCUGAGAACUGUGAUGGGAGAGGUACAAAAAUGACCAUUGGUCAGAUUUUUAAAAAUUUUUCUUCAGCAAUAACUUUUUUAUAUUAAAAAGUAAUAUAUAUUUGUUGCAAGAAAUACAGAUAAGUAAAAGGAAGGAAAUAAAAGUCAACCAUACUCCCAUCAUCCAAUGAUUAACCAUUUUUGGCAUUUGGCUUAUGUCCUUUCAGUGUUUUUCCAUUAUAUAUAUAUACAUAUUUUUCUUUGAAAAUGUAGGGUCAUGCCAUUAUACUAUUUGGUAAUCUACCUUUUUUAAAAAAAAUUUAUGUACUUAAGAUGUACAGCAUGUUGAUUUGAUAUACAUAAACAUAGUGUUAUGAUUACUACAUCUCUAUCUCCUCAUUUUUUGUGUGUGUGGUGAAAGCACCUGAAAUUUUUGAUAAUUUACUUUUAAAAUAAACAAUAUAUGGUGAA